rnacentral:rRNA from 1 species
UACGAAGGGGGCUAGCGUUGCUCGGAAUCACUGGGCGUAAAGGGUGCGUAGGCGGGUUUUUAAGUCAGGGGUGAAAUCCUGGAGCUCAACUCCAGAACUGCCUUUGAUACUGGUGAGCUUGAGUCCGGAAGAGGUGAGUGGAAUUCCUGGUGUAGCGGUGGAAUGCGCAGAUAUCAGGAGGAACACCGAUAGCGAAGGCAGCUCGCUGGGACGGUACUGACGCUGAGGCGCGAAAGCGUGGGGAGCGAACAGG